GGGUUGUCUGGCUCCCUAAUGCUUUUAAGCACUGGAUUGUGCUGUGUUUAGUCUUUCCAUUGGCCCCUCAGUUAAAUCAAGACCUAAGUGUGUGCUUGAUUAUUUCUAAAUUAGUUUGUUUAUAUGGUGGAUUCUGUUGAUGGAUCUUUAUAAACCACACUUGCAUCCCUGGGAUGAAGCCUACUUGAUCAUGAACAGACUUGGUGUGUGAAUCCCAACAGGGACAAGGAGAAAGAGUGACAGCUGAUGUCAGGAUGUAACAACAUCAUUAAGAAGAGAACCGGAAGACAAAGACACAGCUAUUAGAAUGGAACACGUGCAGGGACCGCUGGCCUUGGUGUUGAUGAAUUGGCGGAGCAGAGAGAGCUCUCCUACAUCUUGGUUAGGAACAUGAAAUGAGACAAUCAAUUUGGAUAAAGGUCUGGCUGUUUUUGUAAAACUAAGACAGAUGUAUAAUCUGUCACUCGACACAGUGAUUUUGCUUCUAGGUCCUGACACAAGGGGACAAAAAGACAUAUAGUCGAUGUUGAUUGCAGAUUUAUCCAAAAUAACUCUGAACUGGAAACAAGCCUUGUGAUUAUCAACAAGAUAAACAAAGUACAGUGUGUUCAGCCAGUGGGAUACUGCAGCACCAGAAAGGAUAAACUACUGAUUCAUGCACGCAUGGAACAAAUUCAGAUUAUUUUAUGCCUUACAAUAAAAUUUCAAUAUAACUCCACUUACACUCUCUUCUAAAAUGGGAAAACUGAUUUGUGGAUAUAAACAUGAAGCCAGGUGUUAAAGAGUCAUGUGUGUAAUCUUAGCACACUCAAGGUUAUUGAAGCAUGGGAAGUAUAAAAUUUGAGGGCAUCCUGGGCAACAUCAUGAGACCUUGAGUAAAAAGUUAAAAAAUAAAAUGUGACCUUUUGUCAGUGCACACA
rnacentral:lncRNA from 1 species